ensembl:antisense
CAUAAUGGGAAAAAACAGUUUCUUCUUGCCUGAGGCUUGAACAGGGAGCUAGCUGGUUGAGCAGAAGAGAAACUGUGGAAAACUUAUAGGAGAGGGCAGGAAUAUGGCAGAAAGGACCUGUGACGCAGGUUGGUGGUGGAAAAGAGAGGGGGCAACCAGAAGACUUGUAGGACAAGGGGGUGCUCACCCAAACGGCUUCUUUGAUGAGCCGGGCCAGGCGGCCCAGCAAGCGAGGCAGGUGGCCCAGCUCCAGCUCCCUCGCAGAAUGCUGCACACACAGUGCCAGCAGAGUGGCUGGCCCGAGCGGGGGCAGGUCCCCUGCUCCCGAGGCUGCAGCUCGCACGAUCUCGCCCAACAGCGCCUCUUCCUCUCGUGGUCUGAACCGCAGCACCGGCUCGCGGCCAUCCAGUUCCUUAGUUCCUUUAGUGGACUCUUCUGUACCAUGCAGUCCCAAG